CCCCCCCGGGUUCUGUAAUUUCUGGGAAAUGAGAGGCAGCCAUGGGAGAGCAGCGGAGGUCUGAUGUGUUUUUCUGACCCAGUGGCCCCUGGCGGAGCCCAUCUCGACGUGAGUCUGCGGGGGUAUAAAAGGGCCUGUUGCGAGGACACCUCCCAGUGCUUCGCCAUGGAGGUUAUGCUCUUCGUCUGCCUCCUCUGUCUGCAGGGGUACGUGUCGACCGUCAUCCUCCUUCCCCCGGGGGGAGGCACCGACUCGGACCAAGACCCUGUGGCCGUCACCGCUGGUGCGGACCUCAGCAGAAUGCGGCCAGUAGGGAAUGCAAGGAUCCUGUCAGAACUGGUGGUUCCAGAAGUAUCUAUCCUGGACGAGAGGGGUUUACAGGCCCAAAGGGUGAAAAGACAAAUGAAACCCAAGAAGAAAAAGCCAAAGCCAAAGCCAAACCCAGGGUCAUUCUCCGUUCUCAGUUCAGACAAAAGGGUGAAGAGGCACCAAGACAAACAGAGGAGGAAUUCAAAUAAGAAGCCAUAUUCUGGAAAGUUCUCCCCUCUGGGCCAAGGAAGUCCCCCCACGCAGGAGGCUUUUCAAUGAGGGACAUCAAGAGGUGGUUCCCCAGACCGCUGAGCACACGUCUGGCAUCCUUCUCACAUCCUUCAAAACAGACACUCAAAAAGCUGCAGCAUCUCCACGGACAGACUCCUAAACACACUCAAGCAACGCAUUACACACACUCCAAACGUGUGGUUUAAAUUAAACAGCGUAAAACUGUGGAAACAGGAACCUGUAAACAAAUUCUCUCUUUGCAGGUAUUAAAUUGCAAAGUAAUGUGCAAAGCCACAAGAAUAAAGAAACCUUUGUAUCCUCGUAGUCUUUCA
ensembl:lncRNA